rnacentral:lncRNA from 1 species
AGUCGCUCGUUCCCUGUGUGUGGUUGCUGUGGCUCCUAAAGUGUCCUGUCAUCCUCCUUCUGAAAGAACACUUGCUAGUGUCGACAUCUGGAUGAGGAAACAGAGGCUCCGAUGUGGCAGUUGGGAGCGGUCCUUUGUCAGAAGCAGCAAAGGAACUCAACAGCCUGUGCGAGGAGGAAGGGGUACGAUUCCCCACUUCAGACAAGCAGCAGCCACAGACCAGCCCCUGCGCUACUACAGGAUUUCUUCAAGAUACAAGAGGUCCCCUUCGUCUCACUCUGGUGACUCCACUGUGGCUGCAUAUUCUGGGGCAGAGUACAUCAAUUGUUUCCGAAGGUGCAUGCUGGCUCCACAGAAAUGGCAUUCCGCUUUGUUGCCCAGGCUGGUCUCAAACUCCUGACUUCAGAGGAUCCUCCUGUCUCAGCCUCCCAAAGUGCUAGGGUUCCAGGCAUGAGCCACUGCGCCCUGCCCGGAGCCUUAUGUUAACAUGUCUAUUACAGGACCUGACAUGAAGAAGAGACUUAAUAAAAGGUGAUUGUCCUUCCCUUUUCUAUGAAGCAGGAAGGGGAGCUAUUAUUAUCUUCAUUGUACAGAAGAGAAAGCUGAGGCCCAGAGAGAUAAAGUGGCUUGCCCAGAGUUUCACAAAUACAGGAUUGGAGCCCCAACUUGUGCCUAGCUCUUUAACAUACCACCUCACCAGCCCACACAGGAAGGCAAUGACUGUGCACUGCAGAUAUUUGUGCAGGAUGUGUAUAUUACAUGAUUUGGGGCUGACGCAACUUGUCUUGUACAUAUUGUUUUAUGUGACUUUACUCUGCCUUUCUGCCUGUGCUGAUCAUGCCCCAAGAGCUGGGCCAGGCCUUGUGCCCUUGCAGAAUCUGCCUCUGCAGCUCAGUGAUAGUUGCUCAGCAAGUGCUGAUCCACUAGCCCAUUUCCUUCCUUCCUUCCUUCCUUCUUUCCUUCCUUCCUUCCUUUCUUUCUCUUUCUUUCUUUCUUCUUUUUUUUUUUUUGACAGAGUCUCGCUCCGUCACCCAGGCUGGAGUGCAACGGUGAGAUCUCACCUCAUUGCAAACUCUGUCUCCCGGGUUCAAGCGAUUCUCCUGCCUCACCCUCCCAAGUAGCUGAGAUUACAGGUGUGCGCCACCAUGCUUGGCUAAUUUUUGUAUUUUCAGUAGAGGCGAGGUUUCAUCAUGUUGGCCAAGUUGGUCUCGAACUCCUGACCUCAUGAUCUACCCACCUCGGCCUCCCAAAGUGCUGGGAUUACAGGCAUGAGCCACCUUGCUCUGCUGACCAUUUUCAAGUGCUUGCAAAUCUGUCCACCCAGAGAGGACAUAGUAGCACAUUUAAUAAUUAAGAGAAAAGCUUGGUUUUCAGGAACUUUGUCAUCUGAGUUUGAUAAUUAUGAAGGGUAUAAGAAUUCAUUUUAUGGUAUGGUAGGAAAAGAAUAACACUACCUAAAAUGCUCAGAUGAUUUAUUAAGGGUUCUUAUUUGUAGGGACAGCCUCCCAUUUUUCUCUCAUGUGAUGUCCAGCAGGUGGUUCUGACCUGACUAGUACACAUUCUUUAACUAAAGACAGAGCACUGCUAGGCGGCAGACACAGACCUGUGCCCCAGGCUGUAAUGGUGAGACAGGCAUAAUCCCUGAUCAUGGAACCUAUGGGCACAAGGCAGUCAACAGUUAAAUACACACAAUAUUUAUAAGUUACAAUGAAUUAAACGAAGGAAAAGACGAGGAACUAAGAGACAGCCUAAUUGGAGGAUCUCAUUUAGAUUGGGAGGCUGGGGAAAGUCUCCAUGAAGAAGUGUUAUCUACACUGAAACCUGAGAAAAGUUGGUAGAAUUCAGGCCAAAAGUGGGAGAAGGAGCAUUUCAGACAGAGGGAUCAACCUUGUGGAAGCCCUGUGGUGGGAGAGAGCUUAGAAUUGAAAUGAGGUUAGGGGCCACCACAGGGAAACUGGAGACACAUAAGUGAUGGGAGCUUGGCCAGGACCAACUUCCUGUAGGCAUUCCAAUUGCAAUUGCCAUUUAUAAGUUUUCAGCAGAUAAAUCAUAUGGUCGAACUUAGGUCCUAACACAUCUGUCUACUGCUAAAUAGAAGAAUGGGUGCCACUUAAGAAUGGGUUCAAUGUAACGAGGGCAAAAGUAGAAGUGAGGAGACCAGCUGUGAGGCUAUUGCAGUGGUCCUGGUGUAGGAUGUGGGUGGCUUGGACUUGGGUAAUGGCAGUGAAUUGACAGACAUGAGUGAAACUGUGAGAUGUUUUAGGAGUAGAAUUGUUAGGACAUGCGGAUCAACUGUAUAUACAGAGUGAGAAAGGGAAAGGGUACUCUCGUGUUUCAGGGUGUCUGAAUUGGUUUACUGAUAUCUGGGGGGAUCAGAAGAGUUCAGGUCCAGCCAGGUUGCAAUUGAGAUGCCUCUGAGACAUCCAAUAGGAGGAUGUCAUUGGAUACAGGAGUUAGGAGCUUAGAUACACACUUGGGAGAACUCGGCACAGGUGGUAUGAAAGUGGUGGGCUGGUGAGAUUGCCUAGGGAGAGAAAACACGGAGAGGAGUCCCAGGGCUGAGCCCAGACCUCUGAACAGAAGAAGGAGUCAUGGAGAAACCCAGAAGAAUGAGGUGUCACAGGCAAAGAAAAAUUGGAUGCUCCGGAAGGAGAGAGGUCUGUCUCACGAAGAGAGAUAAAAGCAGCUGGGACCACAUAGAGGUAAUUGUUGAUGCUGAUGAGAGAAGAGGGCGGAGGGUGGAAAAGGAAGGGAGCCACUGAGCUGAGAAUGGGAGACAGGAAAGAAACAGCAUUCUGUGGUCAGCCUGGUGAGAAAUGUGGCUCUCAGAAAGCAGAGAGAGAACAGUUGGAGGAGCUCAUGGGCACACGGGGGAUGUCUGACUGGUUGUGUUUUCUGUUGGAAAAUAUUAGAGCUCCUCUGUGUGUUAGGGAAGGGUCAAGUAGAGAGGGCAAGGGAGAAGAUGCUGGAAUGAGGAGAGCCAAGGUCCUGAGGACACCUGACCUUGGCACUACACAGGACCUGCAGCCCAGACGCUUCCUAAGCAAGCCUCUUGCCUGGGGAAUAAAGAGCUGAUUUUUCCAGUGACUUCAUGGGCACUGGGGUCCUAUGGAACCUCUAAGGGGAAGGAGCAAGAGAAACAGAUGUUCUUUCUUCCCUGUAGAGGGAGGAAGAGGGAAGACAAAGAUGAAAAAGGGAAGAAAGGAGGAAGGAAGGGAGAAAGGAGAAAACAAAGAUGGCCAGUCUUCUCUUCUCCCCAGGUGGUUGGGAUAACAGCGAGGCCAAAUCCCAGAUGAUAUGGGGGAGGGCUGCAACCUCUCAGGAGGGCUGUCUCCCCCAGAAAAAGCCUAGGACUUACCUAGACUUAGGAGGUUGUCAUCAAGCCUUGUCUUUCCUGCAGACCUCAACGUCUUGUCAGUCCAGAAAAACUUCAAGGGCAGCAGCCAGAAUCCCAGGGCUGAGAAACCUGACUUUCCUCUCUUUGUACCUCCCAAUUCCCCUCCUAGGUCCUGAGCCACAGGGAAUUGUGUGAUUUCAAUGAGCUAUGGCAAGAGCAUUUUCCCUUCCCAUCAACUCAGUCACGUUUCCUGUAGUGGAGACGGGAGCAUGGGGAGGGAGGAGCGGGAGAAAGAAGGCUUACCCUGGCAGUAUUCAUUCACUCUCUGAGGCAUGAGAUUUGAUUACCAGUCUUUUAACAUGCAUGACAGCAAAUGCUAAUAUUUGCCACAGAAUUUUCUAGCCACCUUUUAAAUCCAUCUACAGUGUUAGGCUCUUUGACCCCUAGAGGUAGGGAAUGCCACAGGCUGCCUUCAUGCUACUGAACGUUGUUGCCUCCUCUAUAGCAAUAAAGCUUUUCUUGAAAUAUAAGGCAUAAGAACAAAGAAAAUUCCAGAUUUCUGGGAGUAAAUACUACAGUUCAUUAAACCACCUGCUUACUUCAUACAAGCUAGCAAUGACUCUCCAGUCUCCCGCCUAAAACUCCAGUUAGUCUUCUGUGCAUGAGAUGUCUUUUCUAUUGUGAUUGCCAUUCUUGGCUCAUUGUUUGAAAAGGGAUAUUACAAAUAAAAAUAACAACCAUCCCUGGUUAAUAUGCUUAUUACUUUACACAUCUUUCUCAACUUUUUCCAAACUUACUGGUAGACCAGAAAGAAAUCUAACUUCUUUUAGGCUUGAGUUCCAUUGUCUAAAAGUAGUAACCAUUUUCUUUCUUUCUCCCUUUUUCUUUUCUUUUCUUUUUUUUCUUUUGAGAAGAAGUUUUGCUCUUGUUGCCCAGGCUAGAGUGCAGUGGUGCAAUCUCGGCUCACUGCAACCUCUGCCUUCCAGUUUCAAGUGAUUCUCCUGCCUCAGCCUCCCAAGUAGCUGGGAUUCCAGGCGCCUGCCACCACACCCUGCUAAUUUUUGUAUGUUUAGUAGAGACGGGGUUUCACCAUGUUGCCCAGGCUGGUCUCAAACUCCUGACCUCAUGAUCUGCCCACCUCGCCCUCCCAAGGUGCUGGGAUUACAGAUGUGAGCCACUGCGCCUGGCCAGGUAUGACCAUUUUCUAAUGUUUAGGAGGAGGGGAGCUUGGGGGCAGUAUCUAAAACUGUCAGCUAGAGGAGGGGCAAUCUUGAAGUUCAAAAGCAGGAGACACCCCAGAUCUCCUUCUGCAGAGCUUUAACAUCCCACCUCUCACUGCUUCUUGUAAUAUUCAUCAGAGUCGUAAAAACUAUUAUCCAGCAUAAUAUCUUUUAAAUUGUUGGCAAAGAGUCACUUUAGAAGAGUGGCCUCCCUCUGCUCCCUUCCCGCCCCCUCCCAGAUGGACCAGUGCUGUUUGUUAGGACGGCUUUGUUCCUCGUUGUUCAACUACACCUGGCAUAGUGCUUUGCUCUGUCAUAAGGCCAUUUCAAAACACUCCCUCUUUGUAACGUAAGCUUUGCUCGUGCUGAAACCUUGCCUUUCAUUUGCUCUCCACAG